rnacentral:tRNA from 1 species
UAUGUAAAAGUGUAAGAUGCACAUAAGUUUUUGAUACUUAAAGAGACAGUUUAAUUCUGUUAUACAUAA